UCCCACCUCUCAUCUCCCUCUCGCCGACAACAGCCACGGCAAUAGCAGCAGCUGAUCGGUCCGCCACCUCCCUUUCCAGAUCCAGCGCCACCACUGCCCCUGCCUCUUUCCGCCGGCCGUCGUGUCGCGCAGCUCCGGCGAGAAUGAAGAAACAAUUGAGAUGCUGAAAUGAAUUUUCAUAGUAUCUGCACAAAAGAAAUCAAAAUUUCCACUUGAGCGAAAAUGAACAGACGAGAAGUUGGUGUAAGAAAACAAACGAGGAAAACGAAUUGGUGAUGAUGAAUUGAGGAUGAUGCAAUGAGGUUUAAAUAGAUUGAAUUACUUGUUCGUCAACUACUGUGUGAAAGAAAUCAAAGUUUGCUGCGGUAGAAAUCAAAGUUUGAAAUCAAAGUU